GCAUCGGUGGUUCAGUUGUAGAAUGCUCGCCUGCCACGUGGGCUGCCCAAGUUCAAUUCCCGGCCGAUGCA
rnacentral:tRNA from 1 species